rnacentral:rRNA from 1 species
UACGUAGGUGGCAAGCGUUGUCCGGAUUUACUGGGCGUAAAGAGCGCGCAGGCGGUCGUUCAAGUCGCGUGUGAAAGCCCCCGGCUCAACUGGGGAGGGUCACGCGAUACUGAUCGACUCGAAGGCAGGAGAGGAUAGUGGAAUUCCCGGUGUAGUGGUGAAAUGCGUAGAUAUCGGGAGGAACACCAGUGGCGAAGGCGACUUCCUGGCCUGUUCUUGACGCUGAGGCGCGAAAGCUAGGGUAGCAAACGGG